rnacentral:rRNA from 1 species
AGCGUUGUCCGGAAUCAUUGGGCGUAAAGAGCUCGUAGGCGGUUCAGUAAGUCGGGUGUGAAAGCUCCGAGCUCAACUCGGAGAGGCCACUCGAUACUGCUGUGACUAGAAUCCAGUAGGGGAGUGUGGAACUCCUGGUGUAGCGGUGAAAUGCGCAGAUAUCAGGAAGAACACCAGCGGCGAAGGCGGCACUCUGGGCUGGUAUUGACGCUGAGGAGCGAAAGUGUGGGUAGCAAACAGGAUUAGAUACCCUGGUAGUCCACACCGUAAACGUUGGGCACUAGGUGUGGGGAGGAUCAACCCUUUCCGUGCCGUAGCUAACGCAUUAAGUGCCCCGCCUGGGGAGUACGGCCGCAAGGCUAAAACUCAAAGGAAUUGACGGGGGCCCGCACAAGCGGCGGAGCAUGUUGCUUAAUUCGAGGCAACGCGAAGAACCUUACCUAGG